rnacentral:rRNA from 1 species
GACGAACCGUGCGAACGUUGUUCGGAAUCACUGGGCUUAAAGGGCGCGUAGGCGGGCUAUCAAGUCCGGGGUGAAAUCCUCCAGCUUAACUGGAGAACGGCCUCGGAUACUGAUGGUCUCGAGGAGGAUAGGGGCACACGGAACUGUGGGUGGAGCGGUGAAAUGCGUUGAUAUCCAUAGGAACUCCGGUGGCGAAAGCGGUGUGCUGGAUCCUUUCUGACGCUGAGGCGCG